rnacentral:misc_RNA from 1 species
UUUCCGUAGGUGAACCAGCGGAAGGAUCAUUCAUAAUAAGUGAUUUAUGGCACUUUUUUAAAUCCAUAUCCCCCUUGUCUGCAAUGUCAGGGUUGAUUUUUCUCUCGAGAGGAGCAACACCAAACAUCAACUAUAAAACAACUCUUUGUUUAAUAAAUAUCAUGUAUAAAACUAUUCACAAUACAACUUUCAACAACGGAUCUCUUGGAUCUC